UGUGCUCUUACAAUUUGAAGAACCAAUGUUACAAUUUGCGUCACAACCUGCAUGGCGGCCAUUUUGAAAAUCCCAAAGUGGCUGCCGUAAAAUGCGCAUUUUGCCAAAUAUGUGCUUCUAAUUUGUUAAACUACUUCAUCAAACUGGUUAAAUCCAUGUUUUCUGGGUCAAGGAAUUAAUUUAUAAAAAUAAAAUUAUACAUAAAUUAUAUUAUAAAUUAGUAGUCAUGGAUACAAAACAAAAACAGCAACCGAAGAUAACUAAAAUAUAUUUUCUUUUUACUUGAACAAUCACCUCCAUACUUACGUCUACCAAGAGAAUUACUAUCGCCCACUCUUGUGAACCUUGGUGGCGUGUACAGUCCAGAGCGCUGUCUCUGUAUCUGUCUGAACAUUUGCUGCUUUAUCUCCAAGGGUCAAGCGUGGUACAUGUUUAGUCCCAGUAUGCUGAAUGAUUGUUAUCGUAACAAUGACCUGAUUAGCAUAUUAAUAACAUCAAAGGUCAGGGAGUAUGAAAUCAUAUUUUCAGUCAAAGAGACCAUGAUUCAAAUUACAGGGGUUAUUGGGGAAUUGUGACCCUCCUAAUUAAGACUUGGUACCCACAAACAGUUGAAGGGGAGGGGGUCUUACCAGUCACUGUAAAUAUUACAAUAUAUUCAGACACCCUUAAACUGGACCAUCGCCUGUCUUAUCUUUAACUUAGAAAUAUUGACAAAAUGUACAUUUCCUGAAAAUGUACCAGGUUGUGACAGAAAACA